GAUGAAGAACGUAGCGAAAUACGAUAAUUAAUGUGAAUUGCAGAAUUCCGUGAAUCAUCGAGUCUUUGAACGCACAUUGCGCCUCAUAGCAUUCCGUGAGGCAUGCCCAUCUCAGCGUUAGAAAAUAUUCUCAAAUUUUAGUUUUGUGCUAAAAUUUGGAUCAUGUCAAGGAAGCUAUUACUAUUAUUGUGAUCGCUCUUUGGAAAUUGAUAGGUCUUUGAGUUGCUACUCAUAGAACGUGAUGAAUCUUUCUUCGUUCUAUUGUAGUUCACUCUGGUAGUCCUAAAACUUGUAUGCCUGUGGCAUAUCUUGUAAUUUGACCUGAGAUUGGGUAGGGAUACCCACUGAACUUAAGCAUAUCAAUAAGCGGAGGA
rnacentral:misc_RNA from 1 species